rnacentral:rRNA from 1 species
AUUGAACGCUGGCGGCAUGCCUUACACAUGCAAGUCGAACGGCAGCACGGGUGCUUGCACCUGUUGACGAUUGGCGAAGGGGGGAGUGUUACAUGGGAACAUGUCCUGUAUUGGAGUGGGGCACGUCGAAAGCCGGAUUGAUACCGCAUACGAUCAACUCCUAAAACCGGGUGCGCUUGUGGCCUCGCGCUUUGGGGUUGGCCGAUGGCGGAUUAGCUAGUUGGUGGGGUAAAGGCCUACCAAGGCGACGAUCAGUAGCUGGUCUGAGAGGAAGACCAGCCACACUGGGACUGAGACACGGCCCAGACUCCUACGGGAGGCAGCAGUGGGGAAUUUUGGACAAUGGGCGAAAGCCUGAUCCAGCAAUGCCGCGUGUGUGAAGAAGGCCUUCGGGUUGUAAAGCACUUUUGUCAGGAAAGAAAUCCCUGGCACUAAUCCGGUCGGGGGAUGACGGUACCGAAAGAAUAAGCACCGGCUAACUACGCG